rnacentral:misc_RNA from 1 species
UACGAAGGGGGCUAGCGUUGUUCGGAAUCACUGGGCGUAAAGCGCACGUAGGCGGAUCGUUUAGUCAGGGGUGAAAUCCCGAGGCUCAACCUCGGAACUGCCUUUGAUACUGGCGAUCUUGGAGUCCGGAAGAGGUGAGUGGAAUUCCGAGUGUAGAGGUGAAAUUCGUAGAUAUUCGGAAGAACACCAGUGGCGAAGGCGGCUCACUGGCCAGAUACUGACGCUGAGGUGCGAAAGUGUGGGGAGCAAACAGG